rnacentral:sRNA from 1 species
UCGAUUAACUUCUUAUUUUCAGCAAUCGU